UCCAUCCCCUGAACUUGACUUUAGCUCUUUGUAAAUGAAGACUGUCUGGCUCUACACAGACGUUCUAGAGCCCAGAGUUCACAUGUCAUAAUAGGGCUGCUGAUGGGCUCCUGGUCUCCAUACAUCCCUGUGAGCUAGAUAUUUUCAUCAGCGUAGAAAAUCAAGGUUUAGAAGAAUGGCUGAGACAAGAAUUGAGUACAGGCCUGAGCUGAGCCUUUCCACCACCCCUCACCAACAGCAUGGAGUACAAUUUGCUUUUCACUGUGGCCAGGAUUAUGGGUGUGGCCAGAUCUGAUGUGUCUGGAGCCAAUGCUAAUGAGAACAGAUCCAUUUUCCUACAGCAUCAUUUCUACAUGUUACACCUGGCCUGAAAACCCUCCGUGACAGCCCAUUACCUACAGGGACAAGGCCGAGUGCCAUGCUGGAAUGGCACCAUGUCUCCAGAGCUGGAUUCAGCCUGUCCUUCCAGCUCUAUCUCCCUCUGACUCCCACAAUGCUGUGCUCCGGCUUCUGUGUGCAGAUCCCAGUCCUCUACCCUAGACCUGCCUCCAAGUCUCCUAGCUCAGUACUUAUGCCUGUGCCAUUGCCUCCUCCUCCCCCACACACAGGUGACGACAAUGCUGUACUCGGUUCAGGGAACCCUCUGUGGUUUUUUCUACUAUCCCACUAAGGAAACAAACAGAGCUAAGCCUUCUGCUGAGCACUUACAUGUAAAAUCA